UGGGAGCAAGCCUGACAGCUGAAAGAGGUGCUGCUCCCAGGACAGAGCCAGGUCUGAAUCUCUUGCAGCCAGAGUGGAAGCUUAAGAUGGCUCUCAGCAACCACACGAACAGCAGUUCGAUCAUGCCGAAUUUACUCCACAUGUUUGUGGAACAAAAGAAGACUCUUCGGUUCAAUAAUUUCAGCAACCCAGCCUUGGAGAUGCAAGAGGAGUUAAUGGCCUCAUUCUAUAUCCUCAUAAUCAUUGGGUUUUUCGGCUUUCUUCUCUUUGUCAUGAUGCUCAGCAAUAUUGUUUCCAGCAAGCCUGAAAACUACAUGGACUAUCUCUAUUCUGGGAAGUUUAACCCUCAGAAAACCCAGGUGGAGCUUCCAGGAAAGGACAACAAAGACACUUUCAUUAUUAUCAACAGUGCUGCCUUACUGGAGCUGCAAAGGCAGGAUGGCAAGAACAACCCUGAGUCUGAGCUUCCAAAAACAGAUGCAGCCCUGAAAAAUGUAUGAAAAUGUCUUCUUUUUAUUAACUUUCUGUUGCGCAUACGGAGCCUAAACAGGGAUAUUUUUUGUUCAUGAAAGCAAGAAAAUGAGGAGCUGUGCCAGGACAGACACCAGCCGGUCUUGUGCAAGCUUCCCACAUGCAGCUGUGAAGGUACCCAAGUACAACCUGUGUUAUUACAGCCCCAGGCCGUUGGAGAAGAGGCUGCAAAUCAACUCCUUGAUGGCCCAUCUCUUUCGUGGCUGUUUCCAUCAUCUGUUUUUAUGGCUUGCCUCUCAGGACAAUGGAAGGCCUUCCUUUGCAUGCUGUUGCUUCGAGCAGGGCCAGUACAUUUCCAGCUGGGGCACUGUUGGUGUGUCUGCUGUUAUUCAUUCACUUAUUUAUCUGGGGGGUCAGAGCAGCCAGUUUGGCCAUGGGGUGCACCAUCACCACCACACCAGGCACCUGGAAGUGGAGGCAAGCUGAUCUAUGCCUGAUCUUUAUGGAAGGAGGGUUAUUCCAAGGGUUUGGAAGCACAUGUCAAACUUGAACUUGCUUGUUUGCUUGGCAGGCUUGGUCUGCAAAGGGUUUUUGACAGUGGUCGUGCAUUUCUUAUCAGCUCUCUUCCUGCAUGCCAGCCCUUUACUAAAUAAAGCCAAAGACACUGAGGAAGACCAAGACAUCCCGAUGUUUCUCCAGAGUCCCUUCCCAGGCCCACAGGACAGCACUGGGCUGAAACCACAACUGUAUCCCUCAGGGUUGUGUCACCAUUGUGUCAAACAGCCCCCAACAAAUUCCUUCGGUGUUUAGUGCUAAGCUCCUCAUCAUGAGAUUCCACUGAACCUGCAGCCCUUGCUUCAUCCUCAGGGGGUAAGCAGAGACAGUAAGCAGAGGAGUGCCAUGAUGGUUUUAGGGUGUCUUCUGUAGGCCAGCAAGCCUUGGCAGACAUAAGAAGGGGAGAGCUGUCCACCACAUCACACACUUGGAGGUGUUCAGUCCAUGCCCUGUAGAGCCCUGGGGUUCAGGGCAGGCAGCUGUGGAGAGGCAAAUGUUGGCAGCAGCCUUCAGCUUCUGAUUUUUGGUCCACGCAUUCAAUGGAAAAAGAUCUGGAGUCUGCAAAUCAAAAUGACUGGAGACUGGUGCUGCAGGUACUCCAAGAACUUUAGGGCAUUUCGUCACAGAAGCAAAAAUCCCAUGAAAUUGUGUGCCCGUGGGGUGGGUGUUGCUGAUUCCACUCAGCCUCCUUUAUGUAGCUUUGUAUGUUUGCUUUUUACUACUGACAGGAAAAGAAAUCGUAACUAUUUUGUACCCUAGGAAACAUUAUUUCCUAACUUUUCUUAAGCAGGUUUUUACUCUCUCUGUAGCUUCAUGUUUUGCUACUGUAAUUUUUCUCUCUUUUUUCUUUUUAAUGUAUCUAUCUUCUUCUGCCAUGAUAUAGUGUUAUUAUUAUGGGGUUUUGCCACUGUUUGGGCCAAGCCAACAGCCUGGAAAUGAUUUACUACAUGUGGGCCAUUUCCUUAUAGGGAGUUUCCAGAGCCUGAUCUUGUAAGACAUGUUCCAAGGCUGAUACUUCCACCUGAUAGCCAAGAUGAAAUCCACACCACUCUCUUGGCUUUCCACACUUCUUUGAAUUCCAGAGAUUCUGCUUUCCAACAUAGACAUCUCCUUUUUUGGACAGGUGCAUAUUCCCCAGACACUGCCUCCAGCAGAAGCCAUUUAAGCAGUUGAGUUAGUUUUGGACCCCAUUGCCUUUGGCUUCAUUAUUAUGUCUGGUUUAACAACUGCUUGGUUUGAGCCAGGAUCUGCUAUUAAUGCUCUCUGCUUUUGACUGCACUCAGUAGCCAUGCUCCAAUUACAGCAGCUCAGCUAUUCAGACCUGAAAAAUGAGAGGCGCUUUGAAACCACAAAAAAAAAACCAACAACACAUUUGCAGUUCCAGGUUUGUUCCUUCUACCCAUGUGGAAGUGUUCCAGAAGGUAGCAAGUAUCCCUGUCCACUUUGGAGAAGGAUCUAUUUCUGCCUGGUGCCAGCACUGAGAGGAGACUUCAGCAUGGCUUCUAGCAGUAGUGACAGUUCCUCCUGUCUAUCAAUUCUCCCGUUUAUCAACUUUUCCAACCAUGCAACAGUAUCGAGAAACCUGUGGCUGUGAUGCCACUGAUGGGAAGGCUGAUAAAGUCAACCCUGGCAUAGUCCCUAAUGCUGGAAUACAAAUUCCACCAUUCCUCACGAGGUGACAUGCCGGUCCUUGUGGGAAACCACACGGUUCUAGCUCUGUUCUGAGGAGUUUAGGGCUCUCACUUUAAGUAUGGGCUUCAUUUAUUUUCUGAAGUUUUCAUAUUUUUUCUGUUUCCAUCCUGAGGCCAACUUUGAUUUUUGGCAACUGCUUCUCUUAUUGGCUCUCCAUAAGGGACUAAGAGCUAAAAUGACACGCUUUGGGAAAGUCUCAUUAUUUGACACCAGUAAUACUACCCUGCCAUGGGACUUACUUUAGGUAGUGUUCAGGACUUCAUCAAACAUACAGGAGGGAAAACAGAUUAUUUAAAGUUUAUAUGGUAUUUGUUAGAAAAAGAAUCUUAAUUGUUUUCAGUCCAUGUAAGACUGGAAGAGAACCCAAAUCCCUGUAGAAUAAAGUGUUGGGUUUGGCAAAAAAAGAAAAAAGAUCUAACUUACAAAACAUUUUAUUUGGGUAAAUGUUGAAUUUCAAAGUUAGCAACUGUAUUUUAGCUGCUGCAUGCAAUAUAAUACAGCAGUAAAAUCAUCCACUGUUUGCCUAACAUCAUGUCUACUGUUUGUAUGUGUUUCAUUAUGUUCUGUGUUUCAUUAUCUUUUUAUUUGGCGUUUUAAAAUAAAGGAUUUGUGGUGGUUUUUA